rfam:Enhydrobacter aerosaccus SK60 contig00026, whole genome shotgun sequence.
GCAGUGGUAGUUCAGUUGGUUAGAAUACCGGCCUGUCACGCCGGGGGUCGCGGGUUCGAGUCCCGUCCGCUGCG